UGGGAGGUCGUCUAAUGGUAGGACAACGGGCUCUGAACCUGUUAAUUUUGGUUCGAAUCCAAGCCUCCCAG
rnacentral:tRNA from 1 species